GCGGCGAAGGUUAACCGAGAGGAUAAUUGGAGCGCUUAGAAGUGAGAAUGCCGGUAUGAGUAGCGAAAGAUAGGUGAGAAUCCUAUCCGCCGAAAGACUAAGGUUUCCUGGGGCAGGCUCGUCCGCCCAGGGUAAGUCGGGACCUAAGGCAAGGCCGAGAGGCGUAGUCGAUGGAUAACAGGUAGAUAUUCCUGUACUGUGUUCAAUCGUUAAGAGCGAAGGAGGGACGCAGGAGGUGAAGCACGCAUCGCGAUGGAACGAUGUUCAAGCGACAAGUGCGGUUAAGAGUCAAAUGCUUCUAACCAGCAACACGA
rnacentral:rRNA from 1 species